CAUGAGCACUUGUAAGCGUCUGAUUGAAGAUGAAUGAAAUACCAAAAAGUGAAACUACGCCUGACAAUUAUUGAACAGUUGUUUUUGUAGAUAAGUAUUAGUGGUAUGGAAGUGACAAUAAAUAAAUUGUAUAAAUUACAUACGGGCAGAUCAUACAAAAAUGAUAACAAUGUUAUAAAUUAACACGAACCCCCCAAAAAAACAAAAAAACAACAACAACAACCUUACCGAAGACCGAGUUGUUCAUGAGUUUGAAGAAGUUCUUCUCGUAAGCAGUCUUGGCUUGUUGUCGCAUUUUGGUGUUGAACUCAACGUAGGGUUUCAUGAAAGCCUCUUGUUGGAACUCUAAUACUUUAUGUAUUUUUUCAAUUUUAGACCGAGUUGGAGAUACAGUUGCAGGUUGCGAUAGUGAAGUACAUAAUUCUGUUUGUUUUCUAAAGUGAAGGUUGACUGUUUUGUAAACUUCCAUCACAUUUAGAGAGUAAGUAUUCACACUUUGAUUUAGGAAUUAACACUAAUUCUUGAGCCAUGAUUCACUGGGUUUAAUUAACGCUAAAAACUGUUUGAAAUAUUUUAACAGAAUGGCUUUCCUCCUUUUUUGAGAGAGUCUUUUGGAUAUUACUUUACGUAUGACAUGUCUAUAUCGUUUCAAGUUCUUUUUAUCCUUUUCUGGAAUGACAAGAUUUCCCCUGAUAGCAUUGUAAAUCACCUCUAUAAGUGCAGCCAAUUGAGAUUUUGUUAAGUUUUUUAUCAACAUUUUUUGUUGUUUUUCAUUGGUGUUGAUCAUAAAUUUUAAAAAAUGUCUCUCCUUCUGUAGUUUAUCUUCCAUUUUUCUCCUUUUCAGGUAGAAAUACAAUGGGGCUUUGAUGUGGAAAGAUGUCUGUACGAAGUUUAUAUAACGGGUUAGAAUGUGGACUUACAUCCACCAGAAGCUUGGGGAUGUCUCGCCAGAACUUAGACAGAAUGCUGGAGAACUACGAUACAACUUCACAUUAACAUCCACUUGGUUUAACAGAUCGAGAUAGUCCAUCGAAUUCUGACCACUGAUUUGAAACUCAAUGGGAGUAUCAUCCGACACUUGGGAUAUUGGACGAAUCUCUUGAUAAUGGACAUCAUUCACCGCAACUUGUGUAGGAGCUCACUUUUCGCCUGGUUUACUGUCUGUUCCGAUGGGGAAACUGUGCUGAUUGUCAUACCAUUACUUCCCAUCUUCGACUUGUGUGGAAUGGCAAAUCCCCUCCCAACUUGAGAUUUGUUAUUUUUGAAAUAGUCUAUCCACAUUUGUGGGUUCGAUCAUUCGGGGAUAUCGCCAUAUUGAAAACCCGCCAGAGGUUCGGUCCACGUCCAUGGUGCUCGGGAUGAGUCAUUGGAGGACGAAGAUCGGGUGUCCUUAUGCUGCCAUGAAAUGUCGUUUUUAUGAUGUCCAAUUAUGUUCAAAAAUAAACAACUUGGAGAAUGUG